rnacentral:rRNA from 1 species
GUCUAUAACCAUAAUACCCUGAACAUGAAAAUCUCAUCUGAUCUUGAAAACUAAGCACAGUUAGACAUGGUUAGUAGUUGAAUGAUGGACUACCUUGGAACACCAUAUGCUUUAGUCU